rnacentral:rRNA from 1 species
CGGAUUGAAGGCUGAAAUUCGCCUUCAUGAAGCUGGAAUUGCUAGUAAUGGCAGGUCAGCAUACUGCCGUGAAUACGUUCCCGGGCCUUGUACACACCGCCCGUCACACCAUGAGAGUUGGAAAUACCCGAAGCCUGUGAGCUAACUUAAAGAGGCAGCAGUCGAAGGUAGAGCCAAUGAUUGGGGUGAAGUCGUAACAAGGUAUC